rnacentral:rRNA from 1 species
CGACCGGCGCACGGGUGAGUAACACGUAUCCAACCUGCCCUUUACUCGGGGAUAGCCUUCCGAAAGAAAGAUUAAUACAAGAUGGCAUCAUGAGUCCGCAUGUUCACAUGAUUAAAGGUAUUCCGGUAGACGAUGGGGAUGCGUUCCAUUAGAUAGUAGGCGGGGUAACGGCCCACCUAGUCUUCGAUGGAUAGGGGUUCUGAGAGGAAGGUCCCCCACAUUGGAACUGAGACACGGUCCAA